rnacentral:rRNA from 1 species
GAUCAUGGCUCAGGAUGAACGCUAGCUACAGGCUUAACACAUGCAAGUCGAGGGGCAGCAUUGAGAUAGCUUGCUAUUCAGAUGGCGACCGGCGCACGGGUGAGUAACGCGUAUCCAACCUUCCCCUUAGUAGGGGAUAGCCCGGUGAAAAUCGGAUUAAUACCCUAUGUUGUUCGAAGCAGACAUCUAAAUUGAACCAAAGGUUUACCGCUAAGGGAUGGGGAUGCGUCUGAUUAGGUAGUAGGCGGGGUAACGGCCCACCUAGCCGACGAUCAGUAGGGGUUCUGAGAGGAAGGUCCCCCACAUUGGAACUGAGACACGGUCCAAACUCCUACGGGAGGCAGCAGUGAGGAAUAUUGGUCAAUGGACGAGAGUCUGAACCAGCCAAGUAGCGUGCAGGACGACGGCCCUAUGGGUUGUAAACUGCUUUUAUACAGGGAUAAAGUCACCUACGUGUAGGUGUUUGUAGGUACUGUAUGAAUAAGGACCGGCUAAUUCCGUGCCAGCAGCAGC